rnacentral:rRNA from 1 species
AUGGCUAGUAAUUGGAGUUUCAGACAAUUUGGGGAGGUAAUUUGUAGCCAAUAUCCUUGGGGUUUGCUUGAUGAAGUGGUAUACAAAUACUAUGAUGGGGAAAAGAAAUGGGCGACAGUUAGUAAUGAUGAAGAGUUGGCUACCAUGUUUGCUAGGCAUAAAGAGAAAGAGAAUUUUCAUGUGAGGCUGCAAAUUGAUGUGCUUGAGCAGGCAUUUGGACCUAGGAUGGCGGGUGCAACAUCUCGGGGAGAACCAAGUCGUCGUAAUGGCAUCUCUAGCCAGAACAGUUUAGUUAGUGCACGGCGACGUGGUGGCUCGACAAGUGUGGGCACCGGCAGUAGGGUCCCCCUUGAAGUGGAGCCUGAUGAAUACAAUUCUGGGGUUGAUGAAGAGAAGCUAUAUUCUGAUGUUAUUCAGAAUUUACGACGGGCACCUCGGGCUGAAAACCAAGAUGAGGCUCACAAUGCAGUCCGUGUGGAUGAUGACGCGGUGGGUGAGGACGAAGACCUUGCAGUUGUUGAAUGGGACCCUUUGAACCCUCAUAUGGAAGAAGGUACCGUUUUUGCAUCCAUGACUGAGUGUAUAAAUGCACUUGUGACAUACUGCAUCAAGAUAGAACGUACUUUCAAAGUUGACAAGAGCGAUCAAGUACGUUACAGAGUGCACUGUCCGACUGAGGGUUGUCCAUGGAGGAUGCUCGCAUCUAAAAUGCGUAAUAGCACGAAUGUUCAGGUCAAAGUGAAGCCUUUUAAGCACACAUGCCAGGAAUCAACCCUUAGGAAGGAUACAAUCAGUAGAGCCAAGUCAAGAUGGGUGGCAGAAGAAGUAAAGAAGUGGGUGAAAGAAAACCAGCAAGUGGGUCCAAAGGAAUUGCAGAAGAACAUCAAAGACAAGUUCAAGAUAGAUUUACCAUACAUGAGGUUGUUCAAUGGUAAACAA